rnacentral:rRNA from 1 species
AUUGAACGCUGGCGGCAUGCCUUACACAUGCAGGUCGAACGGCAGCACGGGUGCUUGCACCUGGUGGCGAGUGGCGAACGGGUGAGUAAUACAUCGGAACAUGUCCUGUAGUGGGGGAUAGCCCGGCGAAAGCCGGAUUAAUACCGCAUACGAUCUACGGAUGAAAGCGGGGGACCUUCGGGCCUCGCGCUAUAGGGUUGGCCGAUGGCUGAUUAGCUAGUUGGUGGGGUAAAGGCCUACCAAGGCGACGAUCAGUAGCUGGUCUGAGAGGACGACCAGCCACACUGGGACUGAGACACGGCCCAGACUCCUACGGGAGGCAGCAGUGGGGAAUUUUGGACAAUGGGCGAAAGCCUGAUCCAGCAAUGCCGCGUGUGUGAAGAAGGCCUUCGGGUUGUAAAGCACUUUUGUCCGGAAAGAAAUCCUUGGCCCUAAUACGGUCGGGGGAUGACGGUACCGGAAGAAUAAGCACCGGCUAACUACGUG